rnacentral:rRNA from 1 species
CCAAAUGAAACUAGAUACAAGCGAGCGGCGGACGGGUGAGUAACACGUGGGUAACCUGCCCAAGGGACUGGGAUAACACCUGGAAACAGAUGCUAAUACCGGAUAACAACACUAGACGCAUGUCUAGAGUUUAAAAGAUGGUUCUGCUAUCACUCUUGGAUGGACCUGCGGUGCAUUAGCUAGUUGGUAAGGUAACGGCUUACCAAGGCAAUGAUGCAUAGCCGAGUUGAGAGACUGAUCGGCCACAUUGGGACUGAGACACGGCCCAAACUCCUACGGGAGGCAGCAGUAGGGAAUCUUCCACAAUGGACGCAAGUCUGAUGGAGCAACGCCGCGUGAGUGAAGAAGGGUUUCGGCUCGUAAAGCUCUGUUGGUAGUGAAGAAAGAUAGAGGUAGUAACUGGCCUUUAUUUGACGGUAAUUACUU